UACGAAGGGUGCAAGCGUUACUCGGAAUUACUGGGCGUAAAGCGUGCGUAGGUGGUUUGUUAAGUCUGUUGUGAAAGCCCCGGGCUCAACCUGGGAAUGGCAAUGGAUACUGGCAGGCUAGAGUGCGGUAGAGGGUAGUGGAAUUCCCGGUGUAGCGGUGAAAUGCGUAGAGAUCGGGAGGAACACCAGUGGCGAGGCGGCUACCUGGACCAGCACUGACACUGAGGCACGAAAGCGUGGGGAGCAAACAGG
rnacentral:rRNA from 1 species